UACGUAGGGUGCGAGCGUUGUCCGGCAUUAUUGGGCGUAAAGGGCUCGUAGGCGGUUUGUCGCGUCGGGAGUGAAAACUCGGAGCUUAACUCCGAGCCUGCUUCCGAUACGGGCAGACUAGAGGUAUGCAGGGGAGAACGGAAUUCCUGGUGUAGCGGUGAAAUGCGCAGAUAUCAGGAGGAACACCGGUGGCGAAGGCGGUUCUCUGGGCAUUACCUGACGCUGAGGAGCGAAAGUGUGGGGAGCGAACAGG
rnacentral:rRNA from 1 species